AACGAACGCUGGCGGCAUGCCUAACACAUGCAAGUCGAACGAGACCUUCGGGUCUAGUGGCGCACGGGUGCGUAACGCGUGGGAACCUGCCCUUAGGUUCGGAAUAACUACCCGAAAGGGGUGCUAAUACCGGAUAAUGUCUUCGGACCAAAGAUUUAUCGCCUUUGGAUGGGCCCGCGUUGGAUUAGCUAGUUGGUAGGGUAAAAGCCUACCAAGGCGACGAUCCAUAGCUGGUCUGAGAGGAUGAUCCGCCACACUGGGACUAAGACACGGCCCAGAAUCCUAGGGGAGGGAGCAGAGGGGAAUAUUGGAAAAUGGGGGAAGGCCUGAUGCCGCAAUGACGGGUGAGUGAUGAAGGCCGUAGGGUUGUAAAGCUCUUUUACCCGGGAUGAUAAUGACAGUACCGGGAGAAUAAGCUCCGGCUAACUCCGUG
rnacentral:rRNA from 1 species